rnacentral:rRNA from 1 species
UACGAAGGGGGCUAGCGUUGUUCGGAAUUACUGGGCGUAAAGCGUGCGCAGGCGGUUUUGUAAGCCAGAUGUGAAAUCCCCGGGCUUUAACCUGGGAAUGGCAUUUGGGACUGCAAGGCUUGAGUGCGGCAGAGGAGACUGGAAUUCCUGGUGUAGCAGUGAAAUGCGUAGAUAUCAGGAGGAACACCGAUGGCGAAGGCAGGUCUCUGGGCUGACACUGACGCUCAUGCACGAAAGCGUGGGGAGCAAACAGG